ACUCCUACGGGAGGUAGCAGUGGGAUAUUGCUACAAUAGGGAAGGCCAUCGAUGCAGCCAUGCCGCGCUGUGUGAAGAAGGCCAAUUCGGGCUUGGUUAAGACACUUUCAGUAGGGAGGAAGGUAGUGUAGUUAACACCUGCACUAUUUGACGUUACCUACAGAAGAAGCACCGGCUAACUCCGUGCCAGCAGCCGCGGUAAUACGGAGGGUGCGAGCGUUAAUCGGAAUUACUGGGCGUAAAGCGCAUGCAGGCGGCCUGUUAAGUCAGAUGUGAAAGCCCGGGGCUUAACCUCGGAAUUGCAUUUGAAACUGGCAGGCUAGAGUCUUGUAGAGGGGGGUAGAAUUUCAGGUGUAGCGGUGAAAUGCGUAGAGAUCUGAAGGAAUACCAGUGGCGAAGGCGGCCCCCUGGACAAAGACUGACGCUCAGAUGCGAAAGCGU
rnacentral:rRNA from 1 species